CUUAGAUAUUGCUGAUGCGUCAGGACUCUGCUGUGAUUAUCUGCUUUCUUUGAGAUCACUCAAUGGCACAUCCACACAGAACCUUGGCUCACAUUUCACAUUUAUCUCCUUGCACCAUGUAGCUUCACAAUUGCUGCUGAAAAGGUGAUACCAUGAAGCCGCUCAGCACCCAUGCAUAGCACAAUCCAGAUGGUCAGUUAUCAUACUUCACGGGGCUCUUAAUAGCCAAUGGAGCUUCCAUACCACUUCUCUGGAGACGUUUCACAAACCUAAGCAAUCUGCUUAUUGUGAAGAUGUGGCCAGCUUAGUGCAGUGAAAAAAGUCACCUUUCCAAAACAAACAAAAACAAGUGCCUUCUAGGAAGACAGCCACAGGCAUAGAUGAAGACUGAAGCAAAUCCCGGUCCUUAGUAAGAAGCAACUCCCAAGCUCACUGUACUGAGAGAUGAGAAUAAGAAAGGAUGAAGUUCUGUCACAUUCAGGAAAAAAUAUAUAGGGUGAACUGAGUGGUGCUUAUAAGCCUUUUCCCAUCCCCUAGGCAAUAUGGAGUUUGUCUAGCGAAGACUUGGACCAGAAGCGAAGAACUCUGCACAUCAGUCUGAAUCUGGGUGCUUGCUUUAUUGGUUAACAAAGACAGGAGACUUGAUUCUGUAAAGAACUGUACUCAUGGCUUCUUCCUGUGUUAAUGACAUGUAAGGAAUAAGACACUGCCUAAGCCCUUGAGGAACUAUGGCCUACAGCCGAGGAACACUUCCCAAUAAGCAGCUGCAACUAAAUGAGACGAUUGCUGUAAUGAUGUGUAUGCCAAGUGCAGUAGAGAGAGAAGAGGCACCUAAGUUUGCCUUAGGGGUGUCAAGUGCAGUGUCACAGAGAGUGCAGCAUUUGAGCUGAGAGUUUAAAAUGUAAGAAGUUGGUUAGAAUCCCAAGAGAGGAGCAUCCCAGGCAGUGCAUAGAGUCUGUAUAUUGGAUGAAAAUAUCGGGGAGCAAGGUUUGUCCUGGAUCUAUACAUAGUUCAAUAAUGUAGGAUUCAAAAUAGAAGUUAAUCUUGUUUUAGUCCAUUUUCUGUUGCUAUAAUGGAAUACCCAAGGCUGGGUAAUUUGUAGACAAAAAGAAAUUCCUCACACUUCUGGAAGCUGGAAGUCCAAUAUUAAGCUGCAGACAUCUGCUGAAGGCCUUCCAGCUGCAUCAUCUCAUGGCAGAAGGCAGAAGGACAAGAGCAUGAGAGAACAAGAGUCAAACUCACAGCCACAAGCCCUUUAAAACGAUCACUAGUCCAUUUAUGAGAGUGGAAUCUUCAUGGCGUCAACACCUCCCUAAUUUAGGCCAAACCUCCAAAUACUAGUGCACUGGGGACUACAUUCCAAACAUAUCUGUUUUAGGGGACUUAUUCAGACCAUAGCGGCAAAGGAAGGAGAGAGGAGGGCUAUGUGGUUGGAUCAGAAAACAAGACUUAGAUGUUGAAAAGCUAUUUUAUGUCCCAUCAAAGAGUUUACAUUUUUAUCCUGCAGGUGAAUGGAAAUCCACUGACACAUUUUGAGAAGGGGAAGACCAGCUUCAGUUAAGGACACAGCUGUAUGAUCUAUUGUUCCUAGGAAUGACUUCAAAUUUUCUCAUUACUGCAAGACAUUAAGUUGCCAAGAUAUGAUUUACUUUAGUAAGUGCCUUUUAUGUCAUCUACGUUGGAGAGUUUUUGUGACUGUUAUUUAAAUUUCAUUUUCCUGGCAAUCUGUCUCAGUGUUAAAAAACAAAGGAGAGACUCUACGUUGGAAUCGACUAAGCAGCCUAAAACAUUGAUAACUCGUUAGGCAGACACCACCAGGACAGACCGCACACCACGUGAACCGAGAGCAGCCACCUGGAAAAGCCGAGGCGAGAGGUGCUCCUUGGCACUGCCUUUCCAAAUGUGUUCCUAUCAGCUGCACACAUUUCUGAGUAUGUGGAGGCAAAGAGAAGACUACAGAAGUGGAAAAUUGGAAGGUGGAAAAAAAAUCCCCUCAGGCAAAGAUUUAAAGUUAAUUUUAAAGAAAGUUUAGGUGGAGGAUGCUUGCUGGAGUUUGAUAAAGACACUCAAAUGGGAACCAAGGCUCUCACCUUAAUGUCAGACCUGGAGAAUGAAACCAAAUGCAGAUGGAAUGGGAAAUUCAUCAACUGAGAAAAACAUUUUUGCAUCAUUCAUGAGUGUGGAUUUUCUAAGCUUACUGGAUGUACUGUGGUUAUUAAAGUGGCCUGCCAGAAUCAUGCACUGUAUGUUUGAAUGUUGACAGAGAAGGCAUUGUUACAAGAGGCUGUCUGAACACAAACAGAAAUUACUAACUAAUAAACUGUUGAAAUAGGAAGUACAUUUAUUUUCAAUUUAUAUUGCAGAGGUGAUGUGAAGACAAAAAUUGUAUUAUUAUUUUGGCUAUCGAACCCAUUGAUUUAAAAACACAUUCGAACUUCGAGAAUGAAGAAUGUUAGUAGCAUAUCUCUCCCAUAGAUCUAGUUGCUAUAAAGGUCUUACUUUUUCCUUCUUCUCUUCUAUUGGUGACAUCAUAGUUUCCUCAAUAUUUUUGCCAAGAAAUUCCCAUCUCAGGACUUUUAACUGCUAUUCUCUUUCCCUAGGAUAUUCUUUUGUUUUGUUUUCUUUUGAGAUGGAGUCUCGC
rnacentral:lncRNA from 1 species